GAGUUUGAUCCUGGCUCAGAUUGAACGCUGGCGGCAGGCCUAACACAUGCAAGUCGAGCGGAAACGAGUUAACUGAACCUUCGGGGAACGUUAACGGCGUCGAGCGGCGGACGGGUGAGUAAUGCCUGGGAAAUUGCCCUGAUGUGGGGGAUAACCAUUGGAAACGAUGGCUAAUACCGCAUAAUAGCUUCGGCUCAAAGAGGGGGACCUUCGGGCCUCUCGCGUCAGGAUAUGCCCAGGUGGGAUUAGCUAGUUGGUGAGGUAAUGGCUCACCAAGGCGACGAUCCCUAGCUGGUCUGAGAGGAUGAUCAGCCACACUGGAACUGAGACACGGUCCAGACUCCUACGGGAGGCAGCAGUGGGGAAUAUUGCACAAUGGGCGCAAGCCUGAUGCAGCCAUGCCGCGUGUAUGAAGAAGGCCUUCGGGUUGUAAAGUACUUUCAGCAGUGAGGAAGGUGGGUAUGUUAAUAGCAUAUUCAUUUGACGUUAGCUGCAGAAGAAGCACCGGCUAACUCCGUGCCAGCAGCCGCGGUAAUACGGAGGGUGCGAGCGUUAAUCGGAAUUACUGGGCGUAAAGCGCGUGCAGGUGGUUUGUUAAGUCAGAUGUGAAAGCCCGGGGCUCAACCUCGGAAUUGCAUUUGAAACUGGCAAACUAGAGUACUGUAGAGGGGGGUAGAAUUUCAGGUGUAGCGGUGAAAUGCGUAGAGAUCUGAAGGAAUACCGGUGGCGAAGGCGGCACCCUGGACAGAUACUGACACUCAAAUCCAAAACCUU
rnacentral:rRNA from 1 species